GCGCGGGUAGCCAAGCGGUAAGGCAAUCGCCUGCAGAGCGAUCAUACGGGGGUUCGAAUCCCUCUCCGCGCU
rfam:Nitrospirae bacterium RIFCSPHIGHO2_02_FTLL_40_19 rifcsphigho2_02_scaffold_382575, whole genome shotgun sequence.